rnacentral:rRNA from 1 species
UACGUAGGGGGGCGAGCGUUGUCCGGAUUUAUUGGGCGUAAAGAGCGUGUAGGCGGCCAGGUAGGUCUGCUGUGAAAACUCGAGGCUCAACCUCGAGACGUCGGCGGAAACCAUCUGGCUAGAGUCCGGAAGAGGAGAGUGGAAUUCCUGGUGUAGCGGUGAAAUGCGCAGAUAUCAGGAAGAACACCCGUGGCGAAGGCGGCUCUCUAGGGACGGUACUGACGCUGAGACGCGAAAGCCAGGGGAGCAAACGGG